CCUGUUUUCUUCAAUGCAAACAAAUCUCGUGGGGUUCAUUUUUCUUAGGAACGUGGAGGUUGUAUUGAGUAGAAACAGAAACAUGGUGGAAAUAUUCAGCAAACCUAAGAAUGCUACGGGGAGCAAAAACUGAAAUUGCUGGAGAAACUCGGCAGCAUCUGUGGAGAGAGAAACAGCGUUUCAGGUCCAGUGACCUUUCAAAUGGAGAAGCAGGUGGCAUUUAUUCUGCUGUUUGGGGGUGGGAGGAAAGGAGUGAGCAGAUAGGUGGAGAUAGAGACCAUAAGACUUAAGUGCAGAAUUAGGCCAUUUGAUCAUGGAAUCCCAACAGUGUGAAAACAGGGCCUUUGGCCCAACAAGUCCAUACCAACCCUCAAAGCAUCCCACCCACACCCAUCUUCCUAUAACCCACCUCAUCUACACAUCUCAACACUAUAGAAAACUCAGCAUAGCCAAUUCACCCUAACCUGCACAUCUUUGGACUGUGGGAGGCAACCAGAGCAAACCCACACAGACUCAGGGAGAAUGUGCAAACUGCACACUGACUGUCCUCCAAGGGAGGAAUUGAACCCGGGUCCCUGACACUUGUGAAGCAGCAGUGCUAACCACUGAGCCACCAUGUCAUGGCUGAUAUUUCUCAAACUCAUUCGCCUACCUAUCUAUCGCUGUCUUAAUCACUCAAUGACUUGGCCUCCGUAGCAAUUUGUCUUCAAAUGAAAUGGAUACCCAAAAAGCACAGUCUGCCAUUACCUAAGAGACAGACCACAACAGGAAGACAUAACGCAACCUGACCCAUUAAUCACCCUACUGUACAUCAAGGAUAUUUCAGAGAUGACCACAAGACUACUCAGGCUCCUAGGUAUCAGAGUAGUCCACAAACCGACAACCACACUAUGACAGCUACUGACAAAUGUAAAGGAUCCCAUACCCAAAACCAGGGUAAUAUACAAAAUACCAUGCAAGGACUGUGAGAAACACUGCAUAGGCCAAACCAGAAGAAAAUUGACUACAUGAACACCCAACUAGCCACAACCAAUCCUCACUUGCCUCACUACACACAGAAAACGAGGGACAUGAAUGCGACUGGGACAAUAUAUCCAUAAUCACACAAGCCAAACAGAAUCAUGCCAGGGAUUUCCUGGAGGCCUGGUAUUCCAACCGGAAUUCCAUCAACAAACCCAUUGAAGUAGACCCUGUGCACAAACCACUGAGAAACAGAACCGGAAAUAAUACCAACCACCCCAGCAAACUGAGGCAGAUAAAUAACAAGCGGGAUGGAACACCAAUGCUUCCAUGGAGUCGCACUGAUGACAUUGGAUAGCAGGGUGACAAAACAUUUGCAACCAAAUCCACCAGCUCAGUGAGCAUGCCUACAACCUGAUUCCUGAAAAAUCAUCUCCUUCAGUACUCUGGGAAAGAGAGAGAACAAAAAUGAUCGGCAGAUAAAGGAAUGGUUGACAGUAGGCCAGGAAAGAAGAAAAGAUAAAAAUUAAAAGAAUUGAGGAUGCUGUAACUCAGAGACAAAAACUGAAGCUACUGGAAAAACCCAGCAGGUCUGGCAGCAUCUGUGAGGAGAAAGGGUCACCAGACUCGAAACGUUAACUCUGAUUUAUUUUCAUAGAUGGAGAAGAAAAGAUAUAUAGAUCUCCAGCAUCUGUGGUUUUGGUUUUUUUUUGGCUUCCUUGGACUUCUGUUUAUUGCAAAUGCACUCUAAAGACUCUUAUACGUGGUAAUCUGAGAUAUCAAGUACUACUCUUGUUAUUACGUUAUUAAGACUAUUUUCUACUAUUUUCUCAAUCGCAUGGUUAGAAUUCAACCAACUAACUAACACCACGCACACUGGGCUAUUUAUGCCCAGUAGGGAGCAGCUCUCUGACAUCAUUACAAGGUUGCUCCGGGGUCCUAAAGUGAUGAUAAAACAGAGCCUGUUCCCAUUGGUGGACAGAUCAAAAACAGGACACAAAUUUAAGGUGGCAACAAAAAAAACACUCCAAAGACACCAUCCGAAACUCUCCUUGAGGUGAGGCAGGAUUGACAAGAAAGACUCAGAGGAGCUUGCUACAAAUCAGUCAUAAUGGUGACACCUUGUCCAUUGUGCUCCAUCAGGCUUUAAGUCCAAGCACCUUUAUUUCUUUAUUCAUUCAUGGGAUGAGGGUGUCACUGGCCAAGCAGCAUUUACUGCCCAUCCCUCUUUUCCCAGAGGGCAGGUAGGAGUCAACCACAUUGCUGUGGGUCUGGAGUCACAUGUAGGCCAGACCAGGUAAGGAUGGCAGUUUCCUUCCCGAAAGGAUAUUAGUUGAACCAGAUGGGUUUUUCCAACAUUCGACAAUGGAUUCACGGUCAUCGUUAGAUCCUUAAUUCCAGAUAUUUAUUGAAUUCAACUUCCACCACCUGCCGUGGCAGGAUUCAAACCCAGGUCCCCAGAACAUCUGCAUCUCUGGAUUAAUAGUUCAGCAAUAAUACCACUAGGCCAUCACCUCCCCUUCAUGAUGAGACAGAGCCUGAACUCCACAUCGCAGUAGGUUCUGCCUCACGUGGACAAAGAUCUGUAGUUUGGAAAUUGGCCUGUUUCAGUCACACAAAGACCCACAACACAAUCCAACCCUGAGUAGACAUUGUCCUCAAAUUAAAGCAGAGCCGAUGAAACUUUUCUCGACUUUGGUACGGUCCUACUCUCCAUGUUAGAAAGAAAGAUAUGCAGAUACAGCCCUGGAGAAGUUGCAAAAAGGAUUUGCAAGGGUUAUAGCAGAAACACAAGGUAAACUGAAUCUGUUUUGCAAAGGGAAGGCUGAACGGUGAUUGAUUAGAGGUCUUUCAGAUGAUGAAAGGCUACAGAGAGAAUGCUUUUGUUUUCGGGGAAAGAGCAAAAUGAGAAGCUAUCAAUACAAGACAGUCAACAAAGUGCCUGUGACAAAUGUAAACUGUCCCUUGUCACCUUUCUCCUCCAACACCUCUCUACUGUCAUCCAGCUGGCUGGGGGCAUUGCUCCCACCUGGUUCCACUCUUAUCCUUCUCAUUGUAGCUCCAGUUGCCUCCUGCCUCUGUAUCGUUAUCUUUGGUAUUGCCAUCAAGGAUCAAUGGGCAAGGGUGCACAAUCAAUGUGAAUGGAGACUUUGUCUGACUGAGACAAGGGCUGAGUGUGCGAAACUGGGAAUUUGGUUCAAACGGAGAAUUUGAGGUAAUUUAACUAAGGCUUACUGCGCGAAGUAAACUCUCCAGAGCAGGAGCUGAGCGGGAGAAGGUAAAAGGUGCAGUUUGAGAGGGAAACCAGCAGAGCGACAUCAAGAACGAUAGUCAUGCUGUGAGUGCAUGGCAAAGCAGUUGCCUGGUGAGUAGGAUUGAUUAAUAUUUCUACUCUUUUAAAGCGAGGUCUUCAUUUGUGUUUUGGUCUCUCGUCUUUUUCUUCUCUCUUUUCUUAAAGUGGAGCUCUAUAACAAAGACAAGGAUGAGACUUCUGGCUGCGGAGGAGCUGAGACAAGAGCAGAGACAGUCAGUGUUGUGGAGUUGGAAGGUGGACCCUUUGUGAUGCAGAGAAUAUGGGCCCAGAUGUCUAGCUCAAGGCCAUAUGGUGCACCCAGGCUGUGAACACUGGGCCAUCUGUAGAUAUUGCCCAGGGAGAAGACUGAAGCCGAUGGCAUGGGAACAUAUUUUGUUAGAAUUAGACUUUAUUGUCAUGUGUACUCAAGUUUAGAAACACAGGAAAAAGUGUACAAGUGGCCAUUCUCCAGCGCCAUCUUGGCUGUGGACUUGAUUACAAAACUGAAUUAAAAAAAGAGCAGAAAUGAAACAAACAAAGCCAAAAGGAAAGAAAAACAUCCAGAUAUUAAAGUCUUAUUGAAGUCUUAUUUCCAUGUAGGCACUCAGGUCAAGCCACGAACCGGAGUCUUGGGAGGAGUUGGGUGCUGGCUGCCAUUAACGCUACUGCCUCUGAUCUCCUGCUGCCACCGCCUCUGAUUCGAGAGCUACCGGUCCCAAGGGCCGGAACA